rnacentral:tRNA from 1 species
GGAAGGGUGGCAGAGCGGCUGAACGCGCUGGUUUCGAAAACCAGUAUACCUUUACAGGUAUCGUGGGUUCAAAUCCCACCCCUUCCG